AGAGUUUGAUCCUGGCUCAGAAUCAACGCUGGCGGCGUGCCUAACACAUGCAAGUCGAACGAGAAAGGGGAGCAAUCCCUGAGUAAAGUGCCGCACGGGUGAGUAACACGUGACUAACCUACCCUGGAGUGGGGGAUAACUGAGGGAAACCUUAGCUAAUACCGCAUAAUACCCACGGGUCAAAGGAGCAAUUCGCUCUGGGAGGGGGUCGCGGCCGAUUAGUUAGUUGGCGGGGUAACGGCCCACCAAGACGAUGAUCGGUAUCCGGCCUGAGAGGGCGCACGGACACACUGGAACUGAAACACGGUCCAGACUCCUACGGGAGGCAGCAGUGGGGAAUUUUGCGCAAUGGGGGAAACCCUGACGCAGCAACGCCGCGUGGAGGAUGAAGUCCUUCGGGACGUAAACUCCUUUCGAUCGGGACGAUUAUGACGGUACCGGAAGAAGAAGCCCCGGCUAACUUCGUGCCAGCAGCCGCGGUAAUACGAGGGGGGCGAGCGUUGUUCGGAAUUAUUGGGCGUAAAGGGUGCGUAGGCGGUUUGGUAAGUCUUGUGUGAAAUCUACAGGCUCAACCUGUAGUCUGCACGAGAAACUGCCGGGCUUGAGUAUGGGAGAGGUGAGUGGAAUUCCUGGUGUAGCGGUGAAAUGCGUAGAUAUCAGGAGGAACACCUGUGGCGAAAGCGGCUCACUGGACCAUAACUGACGCUGAUGCACGAGAGCUAGGGGAGCAAACAGGAUUAGAUACCCUGGUAGUCCUAGCCCUAAACGAUGACUGCUUGGUGUGACGGGUACCCAAUCCCGCCGUGCCGUAGCUAACGCGUUAAGCAGUCCGCCUGGGGAGUACGGUCGCAAGGCUGAAACUCAAAGGAAUUGACGGGGGCCCGCACAAGCGGUGGAGCAUGUGGUUUAAUUCGACGCAACGCGAAGAACCUUACCUGGGCUCGAAAUGUUGUGACCGGGGUAGAAAUAUCCCUUCCCCGCAAGGGGCCGCAUAU
rnacentral:rRNA from 1 species